rnacentral:rRNA from 1 species
AGCUUGCUUUUUAGUUAGCGGCGGACGGGUGAGUAACACGUGGGCAACCUGCCUGUAAGACUGGGAUAACUUCGGGAAACCGGAGCUAAUACCGGAUAAUUCUUUCCUACUCAUGUAGGAAAGCUGAAAGACGGUUUACGCUGUCACUUACAGAUGGGCCCGCGGCGCAUUAGCUAGUUGGUGAGGUAACGGCUCACCAAGGCGACGAUGCGUAGCCGACCUGAGAGGGUGAUCGGCCACACUGGGACUGAGACACGGCCCAGACUCCUACGGGAGGCAGCAGUAGGGAAUCUUCCGCAAUGGACGAAAGUCUGACGGAGCAACGCCGCGUGAGUGAUGAAGGUUUUCGGAUCGUAAAACUCUGUUGUUAGGGAAGAACAAGUAUGAGAGUAACUGCUCGUACCUUGACGGUACCUAACCAGAAAGCCACGGCUAACUACGUGCCAGCAGCCGCGGUAAUACGUAGGUGGCAAGCGUUGUCCGGAAUUAUUGGGCGUAAAGCGCGCGCAGGCGGUCCUUUAAGUCUGAUGUGAAAGCCCACGGCUCAACCGUGGAGGGUCAUUGGAAACUGGGGGACUUGAGUGCAGAAGAGGAGAGUGGAAUUCCACGUGUAGCGGUGAAAUGCGUAGAGAUGUGGAGGAACACCAGUGGCGAAGGCGACUCUCUGGUCUGUAACUGACG